rnacentral:ncRNA from 1 species
AUAAAAGUUUGAGAUUUUAAAAAUUUAUUUUAAAUUUGUUUUACAUGUAAAUUUUAGUGUUAGUUUUUAAUUAUUUUAAUAAUUAUUAUAUUGGGUAAACAGUAAAUAAAUUUAAAAAUUUAAGAGAUUAAGAUUUAGCAAUAUUGGAAUUAUUAACAAAUUUUGUGCCAGCAGUUGCGGUUAUACAAAAAUUAAAAUAAAUUUUUUUAGUGUAUAAUUAAUAAAAUUAAAUAUUAAAUUAAAUAUUAAAUUAUUAGGUGAAAUUUUAAUUUAAUUAAAAUUUAUUUUUUUUUUAUGUUUUAAUAAAUUUGAUUUAAAAACUAGGAUUAGAUACCCUAUUAUUAAAAAUUUAAAUUUUAAUACUAAAAUAGUAAAUAAAUAUUUAUUGAAACUUAAUUAAUUUGGCGGUAUUUUAGUUCAUUUAGAGGAAUCUGUUUAUUAAUUGAUAAUCCACGAAUAAAUUUACUUAAUUUAGAAUUUUAUAUAUCGUUGUUAAAAAAAUAUUUUUAAAUAAAAAUAAUAUUUUAAAAUUAAAAUAAAAAUUAAUUCAGAUCAAGAUGUAGAUUAUAAUUAAGAAUAUAAUGGAUUACAAAAAAUUUAUUUAAAUGAAUUUUGUUUUUUAAAAAAUAAUUGAAAGUGGAUUUAAAUGUAAUUUUAAUUAAUUUAUUAAAAUGAUUGAAAAUUAAAAUAUGUACAUAUUGCCCGUCGCUUUCAUUUUAAAGUUGAAAUAAGUCGUAACAAAGUAGAGGUACUGGAAAGUGUUUCUAGAAAGA